GACGAACGCUGGCGGCGUGCUUAACACAUGCAAGUCGAACGGAAAGGCCCUGCUUUUGUGGGGUGCUCGAGUGGCGAACGGGUGAGUAACACGUGAGUAACCUGCCCUUGACUUUGGGAUAACUUCAGGAAACUGGGGCUAAUACCGGAUAGUAGCUCCUGCUGCAUGGUGGGGGUUGGAAAGUUUCGGCGGCUGGGGAUGGACUCGCGGCUUAUCAGCUUGUUGGUGGGGUAGUGGCUUACCAAGGCUUUGACGGGUAGCCGGCCUGAGAGGGUGACCGACCACAUUGGGACUGAGAUACGGCCCGGACUGCUACGGGAGGCAGGAAGGGGGAAUGUAGAACGCUGAGCGGAAGCCUGAUGCAGCAACGCCGGGUGCGGGAUGACGGCCUUCGGGUUGUAAGCCGCUUUCGCCUGUGACGAAGCGUGAGUGACGGUAGUGGGUGAAGAAGCACCGGCUAACUACGUG
rnacentral:rRNA from 1 species